UGUGUUGAUACGAUAUACAUGUCCCACAAUUCUUAAGCUGAAGGCAUUAUUACUUCUAAUUUUUCAGUCGUUGUUUGGCCGGAUGGUGGCAUAUGCGUGGUGGCAACUAAGUGGAUGAGUAAAUGUAAAGAAAAGGUCCGAUAUCUUACUCAAUCCAAAAAGCCUACAAAACUGUUAAUGUCUCUUGUAGAAGCGGAAGAAGAUUGGGAAGAAUUUAAUGUUGAGUUCUUGCACAGUUACAAAACUUUUAACUUGGCUCAUAAAGCUGCUAUAAUAGCUGCCGAAGAUGAACCUAUUGACUCCAAUGUAGAGACUGAUUAUGAAAAACCACGAAAGCGUCAACUGCCAGACAGAUUUAUUCAGAGUUCUGAUGAUGAUAACUGGCAACCAGAAAAUAUAUGUACAAAACGUAAGCGGCAAAUUGCAGGAAGAUCUCGUCGAGAGAUACAAGAUACAGAGAACGAAGACUGUCAGGAUGUUUCUUAAGUAAAUAGUUACCAGCUGCCUCAAAAAAUAUCAGGGAACAACUCGCUGUAUUAAAAGCUCAGCAUCUUCAAUCAAAAAAAUUGAAGCUUAAUGAAUCUAAUUCAAAUACAAGAAAGAAAGUCUUGGCUGUGAAAAAAUUAACAAAAAUAGAAAAAAAUGAUAAAGUGUCUCCUAAAAGAUCAGCAUCAAAAGAAAUUUUGAACUAUGGAGAGAGUCUUGCAGAUAAAGAAAAUGUAAAUACUGCAAAUCUUCUAUGUACAUCUAAAUAUGUAAAUCUUCCUGCCUGCAAUCAGUCUAUAGCUUUAUUGGAUAAUAAUAGUUCUUCAGGAAUGACUUCUGAUUCAGAUAUGUUGCUCGCGACGCAAAUAUUAACAAGACAUAAAAUUAAUUCUACACUGCAUCAAGUAGAAGAUGAAAAGGAACAUGAUGAAGCUUUUAAUAACAGUGAGAGCUCAGUGUCGAUUGAUACUGCAAACUUUUCUUUGGAAAGUUCUAGCAGCUUCUUCCACAAGAAGGAAAAAGAAAUGUCGAGAGUACAGAUAUC